rnacentral:rRNA from 1 species
GCGAACGCUGGCGGCAGGCCUAACACAUGCAAGUCGAACGAACUCUUCGGAGUUAGUGGCGGACGGGUGAGUAACACGUGGGAACGUGCCUUUUGGUUCGGAAUAACUCAGGGAAACUUGUGCUAAUACCGAAUGUGCCCUUCGGGGGAAAGAUUUAUCGCCAUUAGAGCGGCCCGCGUCUGAUUAGCUAGUUGGUGAGGUAAAGGCUCACCAAGGCGACGAUCAGUAGCUGGUCUGAGAGGAUGAUCAGCCACAUUGGGACUGAGACACGGCCCAAACUCCUACGGGAGGCAGCAGUGGGGAAUCUUGCGCAAUGGGCGAAAGCCUGACGCAGCCAUGCCGCGUGAAUGAUGAAGGUCUUAGGAUUGUAAAAUUCUUUCACCGGGGACGAUAAUGACGGUACCCGGAGAAGAAGCCCCGGCUAACUUCGUGCCAGCAGCCGCGGUAAUACGAAGGGGGCUAGCGUUGCUCGGAAUUACUGGGCGUAAAGGGAGCGUAGGCGGACAUUUAAGUCAGGGGUGAAAUCCCGGGGCUCAACCUCGGAAUUGCCUUUGAUACUGGGUGUCUUGAGUAUGAGAGAGGUGUGUGGAACUCCGAGUGUAGAGGUGAAAUUCGUAGAUAUUCGGAAGAACACCAGUGGCGAAGGCGACACACUGGCUCAUUACUGACGCUGAGGCUCGAAAGCGUGGGGAGCAAACAGGAUUAGAUACCCUGGUAGUCCACGCCGUAAACGAUGAUUGCUAGUUGUCGGGAUGCAUGCAUUUCGGUGACG